rnacentral:rRNA from 1 species
UACGGAGGGUGCAAGCGUUAUCCGGAAUGAUUGGGCGUAAAGCGUACGCAGGUGGCUAUGUAAGUCUGCUGUUAAAGCGUGAGGCUCAACCUCAUAAGAGCAGUGGAAACUACAUAGCUAGAGUACGUUCGGGGCAGAGGGAAUUCCUGGUGUAGCGGUGAAAUGCGUAGAGAUCAGGAAGAACACCGGUGGCGAAGGCGGCAUCCUGGACCGGUAUUGACGCUGAGGCGCGAAAGCCAGGGGAGCAAACGGG